ACUUACUCUUCGGAGUGAGAGCGUACACAGGUGCUGCAUGGCUGUCGUCAGCUCGUGUCGUGAGAUGUUGGGUUAAGUCCCGCAACGAGCGCGACCCUGCAUUCAGUUGCCAUCGGUAAGGCCGGGCACUCUGGAUGGACUGCCGGCGACAAGCCGGAGGAAGGUGGGGACGACGUCAAGUCAUCAUGGCCCUUAUGUCCAGGGCGACACACGUGCUACAAUGGCCGGCACAACGGGAAGCGAAGGGGCGACCCUGAGCGGAUCCCACAAAAGCCGGUCCCAGUUCGGAUUGCAGUCUGCAACUCGACUGCAUGAAGUUGGAAUCGCUAGUAAUCGUGGAUCAGCCAAGCCGCGGUGAAUACGUUCCCGGGCCUU
rnacentral:rRNA from 1 species